UGAUCCUGGAUUCAGUCAGGGUUCUUUCACUUUGGGGGUGUGAGAUCAAAGGGCCUGGGGGAAUGAAGGUAUUUGUUGUUGCUACUUUUGGGGGAGGUGGAAGAAGGGGAAAGAGAUGGGAACUGAUUUUCAAAUAUGGGUGAGGCAGAAGUGGCUGAUCUGAAUUUUUAAAGUAGCAUUUACCCAUUUCUGACAUCCUCAGGAUAGGACUGCGUAAUAUCUCUGCUGCAAAGUAUGAACCUUUUAUCUUGAGGGAAAAGACAAUCUUUAGUCUGACAAUACCCAUGGACUCUCGCUGUUGACUUUAAAAUCUAGUAGGCAGUAAAGCCAGUGCAUAGACCUAAGAUUUCCCUGCAUGGAUUUCAAGAAGGCAAACUGAACAGUUUUGGAGACCCCUGUCAACGAAGCUCUUGGUCCUUUCGACAGUGGAGGCCCCGUGGAGGGAGGAGGGAGGCGCUGAGUGAACACCGAAUGCUGGGAGGGUAGCGCAGGGCUAGAUGGAAGAGGUGGGGGGAGGAAUGGGAGUGGAGGGAGGAGGGAGGGGUCAUGGACUCAUUGCUUCGUUCUGCACACGUUUCUGGAGCAGCUAGCACAGGCCCUGCUGGCGCAAUUCACCUCAGCCUGGGGUUCAGCGCCUCCUCCCCCACCCACCCCACACCACGUGGCACAAUCUCUCUCUCUUGCUGCCUUCAAGGACACAGACCUAGACCCUUCCUGUGCUCUACAGGAUUUACCUCAAGUCACUCAUAAAUAAGAUGAAAAGCAGCUAGGAAUUUUAGAAACUGCUUCCUUUUGUGAUCCCUGGCAUAUGUCUAUUUCUGAAUCCUUCUGUGUGUGUUCUUGUGGAGCAGUUUGGUUUUUCCUUUGUCAUUUCUGAGAGCAAAAUUCACGGUAUCUCCCUCUCUCUUCAAUGCUCACCCUCCAGUGGUGGCAGCCCCUGCUGCAGGCAGGCCCUCCCACAUCUGCACGGUGACACCUGUUGAAUGGCCCUGUGUUGUAGCAGCUUAGGCGUCAUGUAAUCAGUCUUUCCAUUCAUGAUCAAGAUAGGACUCGCAUUGUGUGAUGAACUUGAACUAUAGAGGCCCUCUAAAGUAAGAACAACAACAAAAAAACAAGAUUGCUCGUCAGGAUGUGAGCUCCUGAUGGUGUAUAUGGAGAUGCCCAGUUACAAUGGGUAUAGUUAGUGAUUCUAGGAGGGAUUUUCUGAAGAGAGAAAGAUCGAAACCAUCCAUUCCAAUCAAGUCACAGUGAAUACUCUCCAAAGCCAAUAAAUAUUGCUUUACAAACAUUAAUUGAUAUCUCAAUACUAAAUAACUUGGGAAAGUAAAUUUGUUAAAAUCUGAAUACAAUGCCAAGAGAAAUUACUUACUCCAGUUAGUUGCAGUGGAUACUGAACGGGUUGAAUUACUUAUCACCAAUUACAAUCCCUACUCUUGUAAUUCACUCUCUUAAGGCAGAGCAGGGGUGGGUGAUGGGUAGCAGAUUAAUAUGUCAUUACUUAAAAAUGCCUAGCAAGGGCCGGCGCCGCGGCUCACUAGGCUAAUCCUCCGCCUUGUGGCGCCAGCACACCGGGUUCUAGUCCCGGUCGGGGCGCCGGAUUCUGUCCCGGUUGCCCCUCUUCCAGGCCAGCUCUCUGCUGUGGCCAGGGAGUGCAGUGGAGGAUGGCCCAAGUGCUUGGGCCCUGCACCCCAUGGGGGACCAGGAUAAGUACCUGGCUCCUGCCAUUGCCAACCGCAGCGGCCAUUGGAGGUGAACCAACAGCAAAGGAAGACCUUUCUCUCUGUCUCUCUCUCUCACUGUCCACUCUGUCAAAAAAAAAAAAAAAAAAAAAACUAGCAAGGAACUCUGAAAAGUUCUAAUGGGUGAAAUGGAAAAGCCUGUACUGAGGAGUGUGUUCUGAAUCUUGUGUGUCUCUGCUACCUCCUUCUUUGCCUGCUCCUGGUCCAUCCCUCCCCUUCCUCUUGUCAUUGAACCACAGUGGGACUCAUUAAUAGAAUGUUCACUUUAGAUUUUAUUAUUAACAAGUGGUUGCAAUCAGCACUACAUAUAUAUUUUAUAUGUUUGUAACAUACAUAUAUAAAAUAUACGUAUUUCUAGGGUUCAGGGUUCAUUUUCAAAUCUUUAAAAUAUCCAAAGUUGUGGGCUGAGUUCAGUUAUUAGUAUAAUUAUUAAAAGAGUGACUUGGAUUUAGUUGGUAUAGUAAGAUUUUUAGGAGAUAGUUUGCUGAUGUCAUGGAACAUUAAUUAUGGUAAUUGUGAUAUGUAUCUCUGAUUUAGAAUAUGCCUUUUCCUUAGAUAUGAAAAUACCAAGUUUCAACUCCAAAUUAUAUUUAGGAAAACAAUAUAGAAUGGUUAGUACUGACAAUGAGAUGUAGCAUGUGGAUAUAUUAAAAAAGAAUUAGCUUGGUGAUAAUUGUACAGCAUGUAAGUGUAUAUGUAAUAUGAUUGAAAGACCAAUUUUAUGUUAAGUAUAUAUUACCAUGAUAAAAAAUUAACAUUGUUUAUAGUUUUUGGAUAUUUCAUAUUUUUUCUAUUAAGCAACAAGAGAAUACAUUUUCUAUGCAAGUUCUUUUCCUGAAAGAGUUCAUAUUUAAGUCAAAUGAGUCUGCCAUUUGUUUUUCUUAUCUACUUUAUAAAAACAUGGAGACAAGUGAACAGGUGUGAUGAUGGGCUGGUUAAGUUGGAAGGAGACAGAUGAACAGGUGUGAUGAUGGUGUGGUUAAGUUGCAUGGAGACAGGUGAACAGGUGUGACAAUGAGAUGGUUAAGUUGUGUGGGGACAGGUGAACAGGUGUGACAAUGAGAUGGUUAAGUUGUGUAGAGACAGGUGAACAGGUGUGAUGAUGGGGUGGUUAAGUUGUGUAGAGACAGGUGAACAGGUGUGAUGAUGGGGUGGUUAAGUUGUGUGGAGACAGGUGAACAGGUGUGAUGAUGGGGUGGUUAAGUUAUGUGGAGACAGGUGAACAGGUGUGAUGAUGGGGUGGUUAAGUUAUGUGGAGACAGGUGAACAGGUGUGAUGAUGGGGUGGUUGUUAUGUGGAGACAGGUGAACAGGUGUGAUGAUGGGGUGGUUGUUAUGUGGAGACAGGUGAACAGGUGUGAUGAUGGGGUGGUUGUUAUGUGGAGACAGGUGAACAGGUGUGAUGAUGGGGUGGUUGUUAUGUGGAGACAGGUGAACAGGUGUGAUGAUGGGGUGGUUAAGUUGGAAGGAAUGUGUCAGUGUAGACUAUUGUUGUGAGUCUUGCCUGCAUGUGAGCCCAUCUUCAUUUGGAAAAUUCCAGGUAAAAAGGACACUCUGUAGCCGUUUGAAAAUGAAAUUUCUUUCAGAUAGGCAGAUAAAAUAAUUGUUAACCCAAGAAUACUCCUAACUUAAUGAAAAUAUAAAUAUUAACUGACAAAAAUUAAUUUGCAAUAUAAAUAGGAUGCAUACAUUGUUAUAAAUUUCUCAAGGCUUAAUUCAUUAAUUAGUUUUAAAAGUUUAUUUCCUUUAUUUCUCACUCCCAAAUCUGCUACCAAAAUCAAACUCAAAAUAUGGUUGUAAAUUCUUAAAGUUCGGCCUGGAAAACGUCUCUGGUUGAGCUGCUAACUUCUCGUUUUCCCGAGAGCUCCAUGUCCAGCUGUGUUUUUGCCUUUGCUCUGUCAGGAGUGUAGGACCUGGGAGGGGUCUGAGACGGGCUGACAGAGUCACCUUAGCUUUCCCGCAUGGCAUACAGUUUUUAAAAAUGACUCUGCUGUAUCCUUCUGGUAUUUACUCUCCAUUAAGGCCAAGUUGAUUUAUUUAUUUAUUUGAAAGAGAGAUCCUCCAUCUGCUGGUUAACCAGUCUUUAUUGAAUAUUUUACUUCACUUCAAAUUCUUGGAGAUGGAGUAUAAAUACGCAAAGGAAUAUAAUCAAAUCCAAUACCCUCUU